CGUUGGUUUAGAUUUUAUCAAUGUUGAAUUUUAACAGUAUCUGCGUUAUGAACACCUUAGUCUGCAUGACUACGUCCAAAUUAUCAAGCUUUCUCUUGGUUUCCCUGUGUUUAUUCAUUACUACGUUGGUCAUUGGAGAGACGUGCAUUAAAGUAGAGUGUGGAUGUCAAUUUAAGAAUGGAUCUGGGACUUAUGAAAUUUCGAUGAAAGGAAUCAGUAGCAAUACAUCAGCCACGUAAGCAGUCCAUCAUUUCUCAACAUGUUUUUUUAGUUACAUUUUAUAAUAUAGCGCUCCAUUUGGUGGCCUAAAGUGUUACUAUUUCUGUUUCCGUCGAAUCGCGCUAAAGUUUUAUCCAUUACUUCAAAAUGUAUUUCUAUACGUCCAGUUUUUAAUUCCUUAGGCAUUGUAUACUAGACAACUUGUUCUAUUUUCAUAGCUUUACGGAUAUACCAGGUACAGGUGAUACUUGGACUUACCUGUAUGCUAUUGACCCUUGCUAUGGAUUUUAUGAAAAUACUGACUGUCAGAGUGUAUCA